UCUAGCGCAUCUUGAUUCAAGGUAUCAGCUUUCUAAGGGAAAAAAAAGACCCCAGAGAGGGAAUUGGUCAUUGUCUGGAGAAGGAACCAAAAGGCCUGAAGUAACAUAGGUGCCUUUUCUCCAUGGUUCUAUCAACAGGGAAGAAAUGGUUGACUGAAGACAAUUCCACAAAAAGCAGAUCUGAUCAAGGUGGAAUGAAGAGCCAGCAAUUAGACCAGCAAUUUGAUCAUUCCUCUCUGGACAAGGAGAGGAUUUGAGAUCAUCCACAAGUGCUCUAGACAGUUUCUCCUCAUGAUACAACUGCAAGAUAAGAGUCUCCAGUAGGUUUAGAGCACUGGACAAUGAGGGAAUAGCCAACUUGUUCAAACCAUGGUCAGUGCCUUUGAAAGAACACUGGGUUUGUAUACUUCCUUUUCUAAUCACUUUCAGAAAUUGUUUGUUAACUGUUUUUCAGCUAAUAAGGACAUUGGAUCAACAGAUUUGAUAGUACUGAAGUUUCAACAGAUUUGACAGUAUUGAAGUUUCCUUCAAUUCUUAGCAAAAGAUGUUUUUAUGCAAGUUUAAGGAUUUUUUAAAAUAAACAAUGGCUAAUUAAAACUUGCUUUUUAGAAAGCAAGUUUAUAGCUUGCUUUCUAACUUUAGAAAGUUAUAAAUUGAUUAAGGUUCCAGAUAAAUUUGAAAUAGGAUUUUGGAAUUAAUCCUUCUGGUGGGAAAAUCCUUUUGUUUUUAAUUUUUUUCAAACAAUAAGACUUUGAAAAGUGGACACUAGAGGAAACUAGAAAAAAUUAAAGGAGAAGAUAACUUAAAUUUGACUUAUUGAGAAUGGAGAAAAAAUAUUUUAACAUUCAGUAUAUUAAAGGAUGUUUUUGGACUUAAAAGUUAAUUUUAAGGGUGUCUGCCUAUCUGGCAGACUGUGUUUAAAAUAUGUUAUGGAAGAGGAACAAAAUGUAUCAGACAGGACUGAGAAUAUUCUGAAAGUGAACUUUAAAAUAACAUGCUACAAGAAUGAUAUAGAGAAAGAUGCUAUCAUGGAUAUACAAAAGACACUGACUGAUGUCUUAAUAAUUAAAAUGGAUAUACAAAUAAUAAACCAAUAGAAUGACCUAGAUAAUUUUCCUAUAUUGAAUUUACAAAAGAAACUUAUUAAUGCUUUGUAGAAUUUUGUGAGAACAGAGAAAGAAAAAUGAAAAGAAAUAAGUUCUAUGACAUUUGAAGGGACUAAUGAUCAUGAUGAUUAAAAAUAAAACAAAGGAAUAUAAAGUUAGUUUAUUUGAUCAAGAUUAAAAUAGAUCUGUUGUCUCUAAUAACCCUCUGGUAGCCUUCAAUCCUGACUUCAGGAUUGAAAUGAUAAUGCUUUAAGGAUUUAUUUAUAGAUGAGAAAUAGUCAUAUUCUAAAGAGAAGAAAUUGUUAUAUUUUAAGAGGUGUCAAGCUACUAAUAUUGUUUAGAAGGGGAAAUAAUUUCUUUAUACAUUUCUUUUUCCUUUCUCUACUAUAUUCUUAAUUUUGUUUUGUUUCUAUUUCUCUCUCUUUUUCUUUUUUACCUUCCUCCACCUAUUUUUUUCUUUUUAUUCUUUUAAGGGUUUGUUGGUUUGUAUUAGUUUUUAUUGUAAUUGAAUUAUUAAUAAAAUUAUUGUUAAAAGAA